GUCCACGCCGUAAACGAUGAUAACUCGUUGCCAGCGAUAUACUGUUGGUGACUUAGCGAAAGCGAUAAGUUAUCCACCUGGGGAGUACGUUCGCAAGAAUGAAACUCAAAGGAAUUGACGGGGGCCCGCACAAGCGGAGGAACAUGUGGUUUAAUUCGAUGAUACGCGAGGAACCUUACCCGGGCUUGAAAGUUAGUGACGGAUGCCGAAAGGUGUCUUCCCUUCGGGGCACGAAACUAGGUGCUGCAUGGUUGUCGU
rnacentral:rRNA from 1 species